rnacentral:rRNA from 1 species
AGAGUUUGAUCCUGGCUCAGGAUGAACGCUGGCGGCGUGCCUAAUACAUGCAAGUCGAGCGGUAAGGCCCUUCGGGGUACACGAGCGGCGGACGGCUGAGUAACGCGUAGGAACGUACCCCAAAGUGAGGAAUAAGCCCGGGAAACCGGGUCUAAUGCCACAUAUGCACCUCGGUGUAAAGCUACGGCGCUUUGGGAACGGCCUGCGCCCGAUUAGGUUGUUGGUGAGGUAAUAGCUCACCAAGCCAACGAUCGGUAGCUGGUCUGAGAGGAUGAUCAGCCAGACUGGGACUGAGACACGGCCCAGACUCCUACGGGAGGCAGCAGUAGGGAAUUUUCCACAAUGGGCGAAAGCCUGAUGGAGCAACGCCGCGUGCAGGAGGAAGGCCUUCGGGUUGUAAACUGCUUUUAUCUGCGACGAUUAUGACGGUAGCAGAAGAAUAAGGAUCGGCUAACUCCGUGCCAGCAGCCGCGGUCAUACGGAGGAUCCAAGCGUUAUCCGGAAUUACUGGGCGUAAAGAGUUGCGUCGUGGCAUGUAAAGCGAACAGUGAAAGGCUACGGCUCAACCGUAGAUACAUUGUUCGAACUCACAAGCUUGAGCACGAGAGAGGUACCUGGAAUUCCCAGUGUAGAGUGAAAUCCGUAGAUAUUGGGAGGAACACCGAUGGCGUAAGCAGGUACUGGCUCGUUGC